UACAGAGGGGGCGAGCGUUGUUCGGAAUUACUGGGCGUAAAGGGCGCGUAGGCGGCUUGGUCAGUCCCGUGUGAAAUCCCUCGGCUCAACUGAGGAACUGCACGGGAAACUGCCUGGCUUGAGUUCGGGAGAGGGAAGCGGAAUUCCGGGUGUAGCGGUGAAAUGCGUAGAUAUCCGGAGGAACACCGGUGGCGAAGGCGGCUUCCUGGACCGACACUGACGCUGAGGCGCGAAAGCUAGGGGAGCAAACGGG
rnacentral:rRNA from 1 species